rnacentral:rRNA from 1 species
CCUACGGGUGGCAGCAGUGAGGAAUAUUGGUCAAUGGACGAGAGGCUGAACCAGCCAAGUAGCGUGAAGGAUGACUGCCCUAUGGGUUGUAAACCUCUUUUAUAAAGGAAUAAAACGAGGCACGUGUGCCUUUUUGCAUGUACUUUAUGAAUAAGGAUCGGCUAACUCCGUGCCAGCAGCCGCGGUAAUACGGAGGAUCCGAGCGUUAUCCGGAUUUAUUGGGUUUAAAGGGAGCGUAGAUGGGUUGUUAAGUCAGUUGUGAAAGUUUGGGGCUCAACCGUAAAAUUGCAGUUGAUACUGGCAGUCUUGAGUACAGUUGAGGUAAGCGGAAUGCGUGGUGUAGCGGUGAAAUGCUUAGAUAUCACGAAGAACCCCGAUUGCGAAGGCAGCUUACUAGACUGUGACUGACAUUGAUGCUCGAAAGUGUGGGUAUCAAACAGGAUUAGAUACCCGAGUAGUC